rnacentral:rRNA from 1 species
UACGUAGGGUGCGAGCGUUGUCCGGAAUUAUUGGGCGUAAAGGGCUCGUAGGCGGUUUGUCGCGUCGGGAGUGAAAACACCGGGCUUAACUCGGUGCUUGCUUUCGAUACGGGCAGACUAGAGGUAUGCAGGGGAGAACGGAAUUCCUGGUGUAGCGGUGAAAUGCGCAGAUAUCAGGAGGAACACCGGUGGCGAAGGCGGUUCUCUGGGCAUUACAUGACGCUGAGGAGCGAAAGUGUGGGGAGCGAACAGG